rnacentral:rRNA from 1 species
UACGAAGGGGGCUAGCGUUGUUCGGAAUCACUGGGCGUAAAGGGCGCGUAGGCGGCUUUAUAAGUCGGGGGUGAAAGCCUGUGGCUCAACCACAGAAUUGCCUUCGAUACUGUAGAGCUUGAGACCGGAAGAGGUAAGUGGAACUGCGAGUGUAGAGGUGAAAUUCGUAGAUAUUCGCAAGAACACCAGUGGCGAAGGCGGCUUACUGGUCCGGUUCGUGACGCUGAGGCGCGAAAGCGUGGGGAGCGAACAGG